rnacentral:rRNA from 1 species
GACGAACGCUGGCGGCGUGCUUAACACAUGCAAGUCGAACGGAAAGGCCCUGCUUUUGUGGGGUGCUCGAGUGGCGAACGGGUGAGUAACACGUGAGUAACCUGCCCUUGACUUUGGGAUAACUUCAGGAAACUGGGUCUAAUACCGGAUAGGAGCUCCUGCUGCAUGGUGGGGGUUGGAAAGUUUCGGCGGUUGGGGAUGGACUCGCGGCUUAUCAGGUUGUUGGUGGGGUAGUGGCUUACCAAGGAUUUGACGGGUAGCCGGCCUGAGAGGGUGACCGGCAAAAUUGGGAAUGAGAGACGGACCAGACUGCUACGGGAGGCAGCAGUGGGGAAUAUUGCAGAAUGGGCGGAAGCCUGAUGCAGCAAAGCGGCGUGCGGGAUGACGGCCUUCGGGUUGUAAACCGAUUUCGCCUGUGACGAAGCGUGAGUGACGGUAAUGGGUAAAGAAGCACCGGCUAACUACGUG